ACACGGCGUGGCGGCCGGGCUGAGCUUCCUUCUCUGAAUACGCGCCGCUUCCGCAGGCCCAGCUGUAGCUUGAACCAGUUUGGGGAAGUUUGGCGGAGGCCCCUGCAUAUUUUUACUUCACACAUGACCCCACGGAGCCUAACGCUGCCCAUAUCCAGCGGCUUCCCCUCUUGCCAUUAACCCUGCAGGGGAAGGAGGGAAAGAUGCUGAUCGUUGUAAGGGUUUGCUUUCCACCAACACCCUCCCCCCUUCCUUGCUGCACGGGCUUCAUGUCCUCCCUUUAACCCUGAGAAGAGAGGACAAAAGCUAAACUAUGCUCUUACCCGGCUUCCCUCAUCCCACUCCCAGCUAAGCAGGCUUCACAUCCUCCUGUUAAUGUUGAAAGGAGUGAAGGACAAGAGCUGAUGAUGAGUCUCAGGCCUUGCUCUGUUUCUCCCCACCCCCUCCAUCAUCACUAUCCCCAUCCCCCACCGCAGCUCCCAUAGACUUGCAUCUCUUCCAUUAACACUGAAAGGGGAGGACAGGAGCUCUGAUGGGUUUUUCUCAAGCUUAUUUUGUUCUCCCUCUUCUACCAACCAGUAUCCAGCUCUACAGCCCUUCUUAAGUGCAAACCCUGCAGCCAGCUCUGUUUUCAUACACACCAACCCAACUGCCCUUCCCCCAACUCUCUAUCCAAGCUCCACAACCUUGCAGGAAAAACUGGUGCUUCCCCACAUUUUACUUAUUUGCAAAGGGAUGGUAGUUUUUAAAAAAUGUGUGAUCUGUUCUGUGGGCUGCAGCAUGCUUUCAGAACAACAUGUUGUUUUAUGUAAUCUUGUAUAUAGUCCUUAAUAGCCCCUUCACAUUAUCCAUUUUGGUCUUUUAAAAAGUUCUAUCUCAUAUCCUUCUGGAUCAGAGAAGGUCAGUUUAAACCAUUUUAAAAUCAGGAGUAGGUUCAGAAGGGUGACUUUUACUUUAUGGUUGCUAUAUCUCAUUUUAGGGAAUGAUUUUUUUUUUCCAAACCAGGCAUGAAGCACACCGAGGAAGAAUGCUUCAGCACUGAUGAAAGUAUGAGUUAAUGAGAGGUUUGCAGGGUAUGUAAAGCAAAAGAGAAUAUUUAACCAGCUCUGCUGUUCCCUCUACAUACCACAAACUUGUAAUCUGGAACCACAAGCUGGAUUGGAUGUGUUUGGAAAGCUGCAGCAGGAGACUCAUGUAAUUAAUUGCAUCACAGAUUCUCAGGUGCUGGGGCCGAAGUGUUCUUGGUGGCAACAUCCUAGCUAUGGAACUUUUAGCCUAAAGAACUCCUUGGCAGAAGAGAUCAGAUCAUGGCCAAGCCUGGCUGUGUUUAGGUCUACAUGUAAGAUGUGCCUUUCUACAAAAGGCCCUGAAACAGUGCUAGUAAAUAAAACAAAAACAAAUUCCUUAAAUUCAUAAAUCUCACUUCCCCAAGGAACAAAGAAAAGUAACACCACUUUUGUUAUGUACUGGGAUACCAUUUAAAUUUGUACAGUGCAAUGACUUGUUUAAUUUUCUGUCUUUUUCUAACACUUUUUCUAACUAACACUUUUUCUAUAAGUUUCAUAUUAAAAUGUUAAAUUCCUCUUUGAAUAUGGUGGGUAAAUAUUAAUUGUAUCAAUGGUAUUUUGUCAUCUUCAUAAAACGGUGAGAGAAAGGAGUGUUGUAACUGAAAAAAAUCACUUUCUUGGGGAAAUCAUUAUAUAACAGAGGAAGUUACUGAAUCUUGGGGUGAGGGAGAACCUAACACUAAGAACAGGGAUGCUAUAUAUUGUUGGAAAGCUAUACUAUAAGCAUGGAAGUCUGAAAUGUUUUAUGCUGAAGAAAGGUUUGUAAUGAGAAAAUGUGCCUUGGAAUAGAAGAGGAUUUGAUUUUUUUAAGAAACUUUAAGCAAUAAACUAAAACUCUUCAACCAUAUGAAAAAAAGUAUUUUGCUGAAUUGUCCAUGCUAGAAACAGAAAUUUGGCUCAUAUAGUCUGUUAUGAACAUCUGCUGAGUGGAAUAAUCAUUUUUAAAAGUAAGUCACUUACAUUAAACUUAUUUAAUUUUUCUGUGAUUUCAGUUGAAAUUGACAUAGCAGGGAAGGGAAGUAACUAUUUCCUUUUUAAAGUUAUUAACUGAAUGUAUGUUCAAUAGGCCAUACAACUGGAUUACCUGCUUUUGAGUAGGUGUCCUGAUUUUUCUCAUGACAGAACAUGGUCCUUCACUCAUCUGGGUAUCAAGUGUUUCCUUGUAAAUAUUCAUUCUGUAAUAGGAAAGAUUGGGAUGUGGUCUUUCUCAUAUUUUUGUACAACCAAGGAAUGCAGUGAUAGGUCUGGAGAGCAGAACUGGGAUUCAUUUUUUUUUGUAUUCUCAGCAUUGUUGGCCACUAGUUUGUGUUUAAACCACAAUCUCCUACCCUCAGUUAUCUCUGCAAACAUCUCUUUAAUGUUACUGGGAAGCAGCACUUCAGCAUCUUCUCCUUUCUGAAAUAUUUGUGGCCUCCUCGCCAGUGUUCCCUCUAAACUGCGCGACAUCACGUGAUUAAUCAGCCCAGCCCAGUCAGAGGCUCAGGGCUCUGUGCCCUGACUGACUAGGCAGGGCUGAUUAAUCACCUGUGAGGAUGUGCUGUGUGCAGAUUAGAAGGAACACUGCUUCUGCUGUGUGAGCCCUUCAUAUUAUUUUCCCCUCCUUUUAGUUUGUGUCUUUGCAGCUUAGAAUUCUUUUACUGAGCCAGGAGUUUACCAGAUACUUCAGCUAGAAAUUUAGGUCAUCCAUAAUAGAAGGGGGAAAUAGAGCUAAAA